UCAUCCCACUCAUCUCCGACCAUCUCACUCUCUACUCACAACAACAAUCAUCUCUCUUUUUCCAUCUGGUCGCAGAAACGUAACAACAUCAUCGUUCGCUCAUCUUCUCGCGUUCGCAGCUUCACCACAGCACAAUUUAGCCGUUGUUCUCCUCUUGUCUGAGAUUGUUCAGAUUCACGCUUUACCUCGCCUAACCAUAGUGAGGAAGUGAAUUUCUGAACAAACGUGAGAAAUCUGAAUGUGUAGGGGAUAUAUGCUUUCAACAUUGUAAAUUCUCAUCAUCAUCAUCCGGUUGGCUCCUCAUCCAUUGGUUUAUUUUUCAAUUCUGAUUGAAUAAACUAUGGAAUUGUAGUUUCUGCUUAGCACUUGAUAUGGAGUGAAUGGGUUUACACUUGAUCUUCCCUUGAGACUCUACUGAACGCGAGGUUGCUCUCAUGAUACUCAGAAUGUGAAGGACGUUCUUCACAGAUAAAGUUGACAAAAGGUUUCGUAACAAAGGAUUUACUGAAAGGGCAUCCGGCAAGUUCUUUCGUUCAUAAACUCGAAUGCAUUGUUUAUAAAUAACCAAGCUGAAUGAUUUUAUGAAAGAGAUCCAUGCUGCUGGCCAGAAUGGGGAAAUUUCAGGUGAAUUUUGCAGGUUUAAUGUAGGGAUUCAAGACUGGUACAUCGAUGCAAUGUCAAAUACUAUGUUUGCCGGGUUUGUGAAGUUGUUCUGAAGUCAGAGUCCCUAUAUAGGAUGCACACCAGGUUUCUUGUAAGCAUCGUGAGUCACCCCAAACCAGCUUAGAUUAACGGAAUUAUUAUUUUGGUCAGGCAAUAAGUAUCGUUUUGGAGGGAGAUCUAGUCAUUGACAAUGGUUUCUUUUGUAUUAUUUGAUUGAUGUCCGCUAAAGAAAAGACUUGGACCAGAUUCCUCAAACAAGAUGGCUGCACAAAUGACAUCAAUUCAGGAGCAAGCAAAGACAUCAAAGGAUGAGGCUCAAGGAGAUGUGAGAAAUUAUAGGUUCAUUUUGAGAUUUGAAGUGUUACUUGCAUUUUUUGCUAUGCCUACACCUUAUUUGAUAGUGAUCUUUUGUGUUUGUAAAUUAUUAUUUCAGUGAUAAAAUUUUUAUAUUUUU